CUGGCCCCGACGGUGACGGAGGGCUUUGAUGAGGCCGGCGGCCGCGUGCUUGCCAGGAAGGCCCGGGGCUUGAGGCCCUGGAAGGCCUGGCCCGUUCAGGAGUCCCGGCUGUUUGGGGGAAUGUCCCACGCCCUGUGGGGAUUUGAGCCGUGUCUCCCGGCGACUUGGGUGUCCCGGUUGGUGUGUGGUCGGGCUGGGAGGGCGUUGGUGCGGGCGGGAACCGCCGGGUAGCGACCACGUCUCGUCAGGGGGUUCGUGCCUGCUGCUGGGCACGGGAACGGCUCCGGGGGGGUUUACGGGCGCUGAGGGGAUUCCGCAUCAUGGAGAGGUCAAGGGGAGUUGGUGGCCGUCACCCUUCGUCAGGGCAGGGUAGCAUCAGUGCCCCGUGCUGGGGUUCCUGGAGAGCCGGCUGGCACGGACAGACUCUUGUGAGGGCAAGUGGCUGAUCGUGCGUCGGAUGGGUCCAGCAAAGGAGAGAAAGCUUCGGUGCGCGCGCGCUCGCCAGGGAAAGGGUGACAGCGGGUGGGACCGAGAGGGAGAGAGAGAGAGGGAGAGAACAAAGGAAGAGAGAGGGUUUCCGCAGGGGCGGUGAGUCCUGGCGGAAGUCCUGAGGCAGAGGAGGUGCCAGGGGUUUGGGUUUCCCGGUCGUGUCGGGGGGUGGCGCAGGUUGCCCCAGUGGGCCUGAAUGUGCCUCCGUGGGGCACCUUGUUGCCGUGGGGGGCGGGGAGCCGGCCUUGGGGAUCCAUCUUUCGGGCCCUGGGACGUGGGAGAAGAAUGCCGGGGCCUCUCUCUGUGCCCCUGGCACGCCUCUGUGCAGGCCGGGCCUGCACCACCCCCCCCGUCCCCGGCAGGGUCCGUGUGGCUGCAGACACCCAGAGAGAGGGGGGCUGGGGAGGCUGGGGAGCCGUGGCAGCCCGAUGCAGUGCGGGUCUCCAGGUGGAGGGGCCCUGGUCCCUGGCGCCAGCGUGGCCCUUCCUCCUUGUGGAAACCCUUGUGGUGUGUGUGCUCUCUCGCCCUGACCCAGGAGAGCAGCAUGGCGGACCCCUGAUCUUGUGGCGUGCCACCGCGCGAGGCCGAGGAGCUCCCGCAGACCAGUGGGCGUGGCGUCCUUGUCGCGGCUCUGUGGAGACCUGGCGAUGGAGAGCAGCAUGGCGGACCCCUGAUCUUGUGGCGUGCCACCGCGCGAGGCCGAGGAGCUCCCGCAGCCCAGUGGGCGUGGCGUCCUUGUCGCGGCUCUGUGGAGACCUGGCGAUGGAGAGCAGCAUGGCGGACCCCUGAUCUUGUGGCGUGCCACCGCGCGAGGCCGAGGAGCUCCCGCAGACCAGUGGGCGUGGCGUCCUUGUCGCGGCUCUGUGGAGACCUGGCGAUGGUGAGCGGCCCCUGUCCUCAGUGGUGGAGAACUCGCCCUUGGGGCGCUCGUCUGUCCGGAGCCCCGGGCCAGCCCCGCUUCUCGCGGGCUUUGGCCCCGGCAGGCCAGCUCCGGGGCGUGAGGGGGAGCGUCCCGUCCUGCCCAGUGGCUCGUCUGUCUGGGCACGCCCCCAAACGCUGCCGUGAUGGAGCGGGUGGGAUGUCCAGGUGCGGAGGCCGUGAAUUUGCCUUGCGGCGGCGGAGCCCGUGCUCGGAUCGAUGAUGACUCCCUCUAAAGCAUUCCUUGGAAAUCUGAACAAAAUGAGUGAGAACUCACUACCGUCUCCUCAUCGAAACUGAGGUCCGGCACGUGGCGGCCACCGGGGGCUCGGGGUAGAUGGGCCCUUGGCCUUGGGGCCUCUGGUGUCAGCAGCCACUCGGGUGAGGUCUGGGGAAGGCGGCCGCCUGCCGGGCCCAGGAAGCAUGGGGCCCGUCGCCCGGCGCUGGCCUCGGGGGAGAGGCCGCGUGCCCGAGCGUGCUGGAGAUCCCGGGCGGCCUCCCGCCGGCCUUGGGGGUUUCGCAAGCCGUCGCGGGGGCCGAAAUUUGGGCCCGGCCCGCGAGGCAAGUGUGCGGCCCUAGGGCCCCAGGGGGCGUCCUGGCCCAGGCCGGGCGCCCUUCUCAGGAUGCUGUGGGGAGACGGGAUCCCGGCAGGGUAGUGUUCUCUUUCUGCUCUGGGGACCCCUGAGGGCCACCUGCUGCAGGGGGUCUGUGGUAGCGGGGGCCCUUGGAUCAGGGCCGUCCCCCAUGGGAGGGGGCAGCCUGGGAACCCCUGAGGGCGCUCCCCUGGGACGUCCAGGGAUGUUGGGGCGGAGGCUGGGGCUGGGUGGCGAGAAGGGGGCAGCUGAAGUGGUGAGCGACAGGCGGGCAGAGG
rnacentral:lncRNA from 1 species